rnacentral:rRNA from 1 species
GUGAGGAAUUUUCCGCAAUGGGCGAAAGCCUGACGGAGCAAUGCCGCGUGAAGGAUGAAGGCCUAUGGGUUGUAAACUUCUUUUCUCAGAAAAGAAUUAUGACGGUAUCUGAGGAAUAAGCAUCGGCUAACUCUGUGCCAGCAGCCGCGGUAAGACAGAGGAUGCAAGCGUUAUCCGGAAUGAUUGGGCGUAACGCGUCUGUAGGUUGUUUAAAAAGUAUUCUGUCAAAGAUUAGGGCUUAACCCUAGAUAGGCAGAAUAAACUUUUAAGCUAGAGUUUGGUAGAGGCAGAGGGAAUUCCCGGUGGAGCGGUGAAAUGCGUAGAUAUCGGGAGGAACACCAAAGGCGAAGGCACUCUGCUGGGCCAAUACUAACACUGAGAGACGAAAGCGAGGGGAGCAAAUGGGAUUAGAUACCCGGGUAGUCC